CACGGGGGGAGCAAGCGUUGUUCGGAAUCACUGGGCGUAAAGGGCGUGUAGGCGGUCUGGUAAGUGGGAUGUGAAAGCCCCCAGCUCAACUGGGGAAGCGCCUUGGAUACUGUGGGCCUCGAGGGAGGUAGGGGCGUGCGGAACUUCCGGUGGAGCGGUGAAAUGCGUAGAUAUCGGAAGGAACAUCAGUGGCGAAAGCGACUUCCUGGACCAAUACUGACGCUCAUGUGCGAAAGCGUGGGGAGCAAACAGG
rnacentral:rRNA from 1 species